rnacentral:rRNA from 1 species
CGACCGCUGGCGGCGUGCUUACCACAUGCAAGUCGCACGGAAAGGCCCUGCUUUUGUGGGGUGCUCGAGUGGCGAACGGGUGAGUAACACGUGAGUAACCUGCCCUUGACUUUGGGAUAACUUCAGGAAACUGGGGCUAAUACCGGAUAGGAGCUCCUGCUGCAUGGUGGGGGUUGGAAAGUUUCGGCGGUUGGGGAUGGACUCGCGGCUUAUCAGCUUGUUGGUGGGGUAGUGGCUUACCAAGGCUUUGACGGGUAGCCGGCCUGAGAGGGUGACCGGCCACAUUGGGACUGAGAUACGGCCCAGACUCCUACGGGAGGCAGCAGUGGGGAAUAUUGCACAAUGGGCGGAAGCCUGAUGCAGCAACGCCGCGUGCGGGAUGACGGCCUUCGGGUUGUAAACCGCUUUCGCCUGUGACGAAGCGUGAGUGACGGUAAUGGGUAAAGAAGCACCGGCUAACUACGUG